AGUUCCAGAGGACACCAACUUCAGUACAAGAAAAAUAACGGUUCCAUCUACACUUAACUCCUUAUUACACUAACACACCCUCUUUUCCUUUUCCUAUGUGUGACCUCUAAAUUCUAAAUAACUACUUAGUUGUCCUUACAGGAAUCAUCAUAGCUCACGGAGACAAGGAAUUCAGAUGAUAAAUAUGGUCAAAAAACCUUAUUUCUCUUUUAAGGCAUUUUCUUUAAGUUCUAGGAAGCCAGCUUGACACACCUGAACGGAUUGGACACGAACAGAAUAACACCUAACGACAACCCAGUUCCUCAAGAUACCAACGGAUGCGGUUCCAAUCAGCCAUCCCCGGGACACGGACCACCAGGACAUCCCAGGACGUCAGUAAACAGGACAUCAUUACCAGGACACACCGGAACCAUCC